rnacentral:tRNA from 1 species
GCAGGGUUAGCUCAUCCGGUAGAGCGACUGAGGCGGCGGGUUCGAGUCCCGUAUCCUGCUCCAGAAAAUAGCGAGGCGGCGGGUUCGAGUCCCGUAUCCUGCUCCA